rnacentral:rRNA from 1 species
AUUGAACGCUGGCGGCAGGCCUAACACAUGCAAGUCGAACGAGUGGCGGACGGGUGAGUAAUGUCUGGGAAACUGCCCGAUGGCGGGGGAUAACUACUGGAAACGGUAGCUAAUACCGCAUACCAUCGGAUGUGCCACGAUGGGAUUAGCUAGUAGGUGGGGUAACGGCUCACCUAGGCGACGAUCCCUAGCUGGUCUGAGAGGAUGACCAGCAACACGGGAACUGGGACACGGGCCAGACUCCUACGUGAGGAGGCAGUGGGGAAUAUUGCACAAAGGGCGCAAGCCGGAUGCAGCCAUGCCGCGUGUAUGAAGAAGGCCUGCGGGUUGUAAAGUACUUUCAGCGAGGAGGCGUUACUCGCAGAAGAAGCACCGGCUAGCUCCGUGCCAGCAGCCGCGGUAAUUC